UUAAAAUGUAGUUCAAAAUGCUUUCUAUUUUUAUUAUUGGUGAAUUGUUUACAAAUCAAGAAUGAAGAAUUUGUUCCCCUAAAAUUAUAAAAAAAAAUGAAUGAAGAAUUUGUUUUCCCUGAUGAGAAAGAAUCUGCUCCACACUAAUGCAUAGAAAACUGUUCCUAUUCAUUGGUAAUUUUUUUAAGGUUUUUGUAGCAUUGGACUAAAUGGCCUAGAUAUGCAUGAGUUUUAUUGAUUUUAAAAAUGAAAUAUAACAUUUG
rnacentral:misc_RNA from 1 species